GCCGGGUGCAGUGGCUCACACCUGUAAUCCCAGCUCUUUGGGAGGCCGAGGUGGGGGGAUCACUUGAGGUCAGGAGUUCAAGACCAGCCUGACCAACAUGGUGAAACCCCAUCUCUA
rnacentral:SRP_RNA from 2 species